rnacentral:rRNA from 1 species
GACUCGUCACACUAUCAUUAACUGAAUCCAUAGGUUAAUGAGGCGAACCGGGGGAACUGAAACAUCUAAGUACCCCGAGGAAAAGAAAUCAACCGAGAUUCCCCCAGUAGCGGCGAGCGAACGGGGAGGAGCCCAGAGCCUGAAUCAGCAUGUGUGUUAGUGGAAGCGUCUGGAAAGGCGCGCGAUACAGGGUGACAGCCCCGUACACAAAAGCGCAUGUGCUGUGAGCUCGAUGAGUAGGGCGGGACACGUGGUAUCCUGUCUGAAUAUGGGGGGACCAUCCUCCAAGGCUAAAUACUCCUGACUGACCGAUAGUGAACCAGUACCGUGAGGGAAAGGCGAAAAGAACCCCGGCGAGGGGAGUGAAAAAGAACCUGAAACCGUGUACGUACAAGCAGUGGGAGCACAGGUUUACCUGUGUGACUGCGUACCUUUUGUAUAAUGGGUCAGCGACUUAUAUUCUGUAGCAAGGUUAACCGAAUAGGGGAGCCGGAGGGAAACCGAGUCUUAAUUGGGCGUUAAGUUGCAGGGUAUAGACCCGAAACCCGGUGAUCUAGCCAUGGGCAGGUUGAAGGUUGGGUAACACUAACUGGAGGACCGAACCGACUAAUGUUGAAAAAUUAGCGGAUGACCUGUGGCUGGGGGUGAAAGGCCAAUCA